CAUCAAGAAGCUAAUAAAAGCGUUAACCUUUUAAGUUAAAGACUGGAAGUUCUAAACCUUCCCUUGAUGG
rnacentral:tRNA from 1 species